rnacentral:rRNA from 1 species
UACGUAGGGUGCAAGCGUUGUCCGGAAUUAUUGGGCGUAAAGAGCUCGUAGGCGGUUUGUUGCGUCGGCUGUGAAAUCCCGAGGCUCAACCUCGGGUCGUGCAGUCGAUACGGGCAGGCUAGAGUUCGGUAGGGGAGACUGGAAUUCCUGGUGUAGCGGUGGAAUGCGCAGAUAUCAGGAGGAACACCGAUGGCGAAGGCAGAUCUCUGGGCCGUAACUGACGCUGAGGAGCGAAAGCAUGGGGAGCGAACAGG